rnacentral:rRNA from 1 species
GUGGGGAAUAUUGGACAAUGGGCGAAAGCCUGAUCCAGCCAUGCCGCGUGUGUGAAGAAGGUCUUCGGAUUGUAAAGCACUUUAAGUUGGGAGGAAGGGCAGUAAGUUAAUACCUUGCUGUUUUGACGUUACCGACAGAAUAAGCACCGGCUAACUUCGUGCCAGCAGCCGCGGUAAUACGAAGGGUGCAAGCGUUAAUCGGAAUUACUGGGCGUAAAGCGCGCAUAGGUGGUUUUGUAAGUUGGAGGUGAAAUCCCCGGGCUCAACCUGGGAACUGCCUCCAAAACUGCAUGACUAGAGUACGGUAGAGGGUAGUGGAAUUUCCUGUGUAGCGGUGAAAUGCGUAGAUAUAGGAAGGAACACCAGUGGCGAAGGCGACUACCUGGACUGAUACUGACACUGAGGUGCGAAAGCGUGGGGAGCAAACAGGAUUAGAAACCCUAGUAGUCC